rnacentral:rRNA from 1 species
ACCCUCACCAGAGUACCAAUUGGAGGGCAAGUCUGGUGCCAGCAGCCGCGGUAAUUCCAGCUCCAAUAGCGUAUAUUAAACUUGUUGCAGUUAAAAAGCUCGUAGUUGAAUUUCAGCGUUUCGCGUGUGCCUCUUUUGGCCCAUCUCGUCUCGCUUUUUUUAUUACUUUGAGAAAAUUAGAGUGUUUCAAGCAGGCUUUUGUCUUGAAUACUUGAGCAUGGAAUAAUAGAGUAGGACCUUGGUUCUAUUUUGUUGGUUUUGUUACCUUGGUAAUGGUUAAUAGGAACGGUUGGGGGCAUUCGUAUUUAACUGUCAGAGGUGAAAUUCUUAGAUUUGUUAAAGACGAACUACUGCGAAAGCAUUUGCCAAGGACGUUUCCAUUAAUCAAGAACGAAAGUUAGGGGAUCGAAGACGAUCAGAUACCGUCGUAGUCCUAACCAUAAACU